AGAGUUUGAUUUCCAUGGCUCAGGAUGAACGCUAGCGGCAGGCUUAACACAUGCAAGUCGAGGGGUAUUAGUUUUCGGAGUAAGAGACCGGCGCACGGGUGCGUAACGCGUAUGCAAUCUACCUUUUACAGAGGGAUAGCCCAGAGAAAUUUGGAUUAAUACCUCAUAGUAUAACGACCUGGCAUCAGGAUGUUAUUAAAGUCACAACGGUAAAAGAUGAGCAUGCGUCCCAUUAGCUAGUUGGUAAGGUAACGGCUUACCAAGGCUACGAUGGGUAGGGGUCCUGAGAGGGAGAUCCCCCACACUGGUACUGAGACACGGACCAGACUCCUACGGGAGGCAGCAGUGAGGAAUAUUGGACAAUGGGCGCAAGCCUGAUCCAGCCAUGCCGCGUGCAGGAUGACGGUCCUAUGGAUUGUAAACUGCUUUUAUACGAGAAGAAACACUCCUUCGUGAAGGAGCUUGACGGUAUCGUAGAAUAGAUCGGC
rnacentral:rRNA from 1 species